rnacentral:rRNA from 1 species
AUUGAACGCUGGCGGCAGGCCUAACACAUGCAAGUCGAGCGGAUGAGGGAAGCUUGCUUCCCGAUUUAGCGGCGGACGGGUGAGUAAUGCCUAGGAAUCUGCCUGGUAGUGGGGGAUAACGUUCCGAAAGGAACGCUAAUACCGCAUACGUCCUACGGGAGAAAGCAGGGGACCUUCGGGCCUUGCGCUAUCAGAUGAGCCUAGGUCGGAUUAGCUAGUUGGUGAGGUAAUGGCCCACCAAGGCGACGAUCCGUAACUGGUCUGAGAGGAUGAUCAGUCACACUGGAACUGAGACACGGUCCAGACUCCUACGGGAGGCAGCAGUGGGGAAUAUUGGACAAUGGGCGAAAGCCUGAUCCAGCCAUGCCGCGUGUGUGAAGAAGGUCUUCGGAUUGUAAAGCACUUUAAGUUGGGAGGAAGGGCAGUAAGUUAAUACCUUGCUGUUUUGACGUUACCGACAGAAUAAGCACCGGCUAACUUCGUGCCAGCAGCCGCCGUAAUAC